GAAUGGCUGGAAGUGGCAGGGGAAAGCAGGAGAGGGAAGGGAUGAAGGCACAGGUAUAAUAAAUACAUUUGCAGCCUUUCCCAGGACCUGGCUUUAAUUAGGAAGAAGAGCAGCCUGCCAUUAGCAAUGCAUGCUCCAUUCUGCUGGCUUUCUGAUGAGUGCUGUGCUUUCCCAAGCCUUUAAUGUGGGGAGAAAACAAAUAUCAACAGCUCCAGAAGAGCCACUGCUGUGGCCAGCAUGACCUGGGCUCUGCCCUCCAGCCCUGGCCUGCCUCAGCUGAUGGCACCUGGCCAAGGGUAGGAAAUGAGCUCUGGGUGUAUGGGACAGGCCAGCUCAGAGCCAUUUCAGUGUGGGUGCAUCCAGGGAGCUCCGAGGAGGAAAUUCCCCCAUUAGAGAAUUUUAUUUAUUGCUUUUAUUGCUUCUGCUCAGGGCAGGAGCAGAAAGUUUGGCAUAAGGUAGGAGAGAAAUCCUCUCUCUGUGUUAGGGCAGCGACAAAGCUCUCCAGCAAGCAGGGGCUGCUCUUGGGAUGCCUUCAAGUCAAGAGAAGUCUCCGUGCCACUGGCAUGUGGGGACAAUGGCAGUGACACCUGAGAUUGCAUGGAAUUCAUCAUCAGGCACGUGGGUACCCUGGCCACGUGCUGUGACAGGACUCAGAAUCUCUGAGCUGGUUGUUAUCCCCUGGUGUGAGGAAGAAGGAAACUGAGGCAGGACAGGCAAAGAAGUCUCCAAAGUCCCUCAGGAAGCAGCAACAGGGUCCCUGGAGCUGUACAAUGAGUUGAAGUCACACAGCUGCAGACAGUGGCUGCUUCAAAAUACCAACAGCCACCAGGCAAGGACCCAGCUUUGGCAGAAGAUAGGCUUGGAGAAGUCCAGGCUUGAAAAAAAGCAAUUCCUAUGAGUCCUGAAUUCUCCCAUUUUCAUCAGCUUUUUUUCAGGUGUGGGUGUGGGGAUUUCUACACCCAGACAAGCUUAGCCCCAAGGUCUGAGGUGGGGCAGACACCCAGAAGCACAAAUCACAGUCACUGAUGCUGGCAGCUCUGGGCCUUUUGCCUGAAUAUUUGUAUUUCACUCACUUUGGAUGUACAAGAUCUCAUGGGCCAAAGAGUUCAGUUGGGCACAUCCAGCUGUUUGUAUUUCACUGGCACAAAAAAGUGACUUUGUCACCAUGGAGACAGCGAUGAUUUGCGUCUUAAUUAAGCAAUGACAGAUGCCCUACUGAUAAAGGUAAUCUUCAGCUUUGGAUACCCAUCAGCUUCCAGUUCCAGCAUUCCCAUUUAUUACCAGGUGCUUCUGAAAUCAAAAUUUUACCAGGUGAUUAAUACUUUUGCUGUGUUUAUAUUCUGAUGGGAACAAGUAUUUCUCACUGGUGAGAUGGUCAAAUACUUUGGGAUAGAGCAGAGUAGGACUGGCAGGGCAGGGGCCUGUUCUGUAUAUCAUAAACCCUGUUCUGUAUAUCAUAAACCCUGUUCUGUAUAUCAUAAACUCUGUUCUGUAUAUCAUAAACCCCCCUUGCCCAAAGAAGGGGGAUUCAGGGAGGCCCAAACUGAUCAGCAAGAGAAUGGCCAUGGAAAUAUGCAUGACAGUGCACCACCAAGCUCCUCCAAAUGGCUUCAAAGGCUGGAGAGUUGGGCACUCACAGGGCAGGCAAUGUCCAUAAUGGAUUUCCAGCCCUGGCAGCUUUCUUUCCUAUUGCUGGAUGCUGAAAUUUCAUUUUCACCUCCUCUGUGCUGAAGGGACAUUGCUGCUGUGCACAUGGUAUAAAACAGUGCCAGGAGCAAGGGUGUAAGGAGCUGAUCAGGUCAGUGGGCAGUGGAAGGAGCAGAGCAACCCCAGAGAAACUGCCAUCAGAUCCCACUGAUUGGGAGUGCCUGAGGCGUGAGGCUGGAAAAGCCAGCUGAGCUGGAAGAAACAUGAUCCCAACCUGCUUUUGUUCAAUGACCACAGACUGGUUCCAGAGAGCACGUGGUCCAGGGGCAGAUCAGAUCCUCAGAAAUGAGGCUGGUGGAGCAUCUCCUCCUGGUGUAGAGCAUAAACUAAACACUUAGGGACACACAAACCCUCACAACAGGAGGAAACUGAGUCACAGGGAGGGCAGAGGUGGGUUCCUGUCCUUUAGUUGAGAAUUAACUUUUCCUCAAGAGGUGUACAGUGGAGCACCAGAGCUUUCAGAGCCCUUUGGGUUUUAUCCCAUUGCUUGUUUGCUGGCUCUAGAGAAGGAGUGAGCUUAAAUCCAAGCCCAUCACACUUCAGUGGGCUUCAUUCACAUUUCUUUCACAAACACAAGGGCUUUUUGCCAUGUGAAUUUGCUGGCACUUGGCGUGAUCUCAGCACACGUUGCCACUCUCUCUUUGGCAAAGGUCUGCAGUGCAUCUUUCUCCUCUGGCCACCCAUUUUCAUUUAGCCCAACCCAGACAAAAUUACUUAUCUUUACAACUUCUUCUCACCUGCAGAAGCCUGACCAAAAAGCCUCAGGAGGAAUGGUGAAAAUGAGGAUAGGCAGGUGGAGACUGACAACUGUGCAGGUUAUAGGAAAGCCAUACAGGUCAAAAAUUGCUUAAGGAAUUUCAAUCCAAAUGGUUAUUCCUUUGCAGGCAUAUUUUGGGAAUACUGAAUGCAGUGUUCUGUCCUACAAAAGAUGGUACUCCUACAUCAGAGGCAUGGAUUAAGCCAAGCAGAUAACAGAGGUGGGGAAGGAUGAAAGUGCAGCUGAUGACAGGAAAUGGAGCUGCUUCACUGUGGUGAUAUCUCGGCAGAAAGCAGUGAGGGCAUUUCUCCUUCUGCCAUGUAAAACCAGAGUUAGCAGUCAGGUCAGGUUCCUCCCAGGAGGAUUGUUUAGCCUCCUGUUCUCCUUUGAGCUCUGUGGCAUGCUGAGCAUCUCCCACGCUUGAAGGGCAGGAGACCCCCGCCUGAGAACACCAAAAAGUUAAUUGGAAAGAGCAGCCAUGAAAAAGGCCUGACCUUUUCCUGAAUCACAGCCCAGUGCUGAGCAACAGAGGUCAUCCAAUUAAUGGGGAAAAGGAUGCUGGAAGAAAACUUUCAGCCUUGAAGGAGUGAUGUUGUCAGCAGGGCCCCGUCACGGCGCGCUCGCUGUCCAGGCAAGAUCCCUUCUCAAAAAGAAAUCAGAGGUUCCAGCCCUCGGAUGUGGAGGGUUGUCACCAACAAGGACGUGGUUCUGUGAGCUCCAGCAGCAUUGCUAGAGGUUGGCCAUGGUCCCAAAACCCUGCUAAAAUCAUGCUCCUGGCUCUGGAGGUUUUUGCUGUUGGUAAAGCUGAACUCGGUUCCAAGGGAAGCAGCCAGGUAAGAAGAAGAUUUCAGAUUUGGCUGAUUCUCCAUGCUUUGAGAUUUCAGAUUCUCCAUGCUAACAGAAAGAGAGGAGACUGCUUCUGUAUCCCAUUCUCUUCUCAUGUCUAAACCCUAGUAGGUUUCCUGCUCUCCAGGGACUCCAUUAAAUUUAAAAAGAAACUCCUCCCUUGGCACUUUUUAUGGCAUUCCCUGGGUUAUUCUCCAGGCUCCAGCAGACUGAAUGCACAGGAUUCCUUCAAGCUGGUCCAAUGGACCACGUCACCAGCUCAUAUCCACUGGGAUGUCUCUCAUUUCACUGGCUGACAAAGAUGUUCCUCUUUUUUCUGAUGAAGGAAAGCAAUCACUGCUCAGUGCCACAGGUCAUUAGCCAAAAGUGUCACUGCCUUAUGCAAAUAAACUCCCCUCCUUUGGGCUUCAAACCACUGGGAAAUCAUGUCAUUUGGAACAAGGUAGAUUAUUCAGGUGCAUAUUAAAAGCAGGUGAAUUGGGACUCUGAUCUUUCCUCCACACUGACUUUCUGCAUAGAACAUAAACACUUAGAACCAGCCUGAUUCCCAGGCCUGGGCUUGUCUGUCUGUGGGUGUGAUGAGAUCUCUGGUACCCAGGUCAUUCUCCACACUGUACUCAUCAGACAGACUUAAAAAGUCAUGAGAAGUGCAAGGGAGAGAAACAGUUCAACUUUUUCACCUUCUACAACCCCAUUAAAGUGUCAAAAACAAGGCUAAUACAAGGAAAUCAGUCAGGGUGGAUCUAAUUGCAUGUUCUCUGGAUCAGAACAGACUUCUGUUUAGUCAGAGGUUCAAAAGAAAGCAGCCAGAGAAACUAUAAACUCAAAAUAAUGAAAAGAGUUGUUAACUUUAAAGUGAUUUCCCACCAGCCAUUACCAGCCACUCCAGAAAAUAUGAACUCUGGUGUAAAAACCCUCCAAAACUCAUUGGUGCUGACUGACAGCACUCAAGAGGAACACCAGGAAAAGGGUGUAAAAAAAGAAGUAUUUGAUUAACUAAGAGAUGGAAGCAAAUGAGGUAAAUGGACAGGCAGCAGCUGUUCAGGGGGCUGUGGAAAAACCAAACAGCUGGAAUUUCAGAUCACAGAAAAAUCAUUGAAAGAAUACUUCUUGGAGUGCUUUCUCCAAAGAGGUCUGCUAUUCUCUUACCUAUUGUAUUUAAUGUGGUCAUAAAGAGUAAAACUAAUACAUGUAUAACUAAAAAUCAAGCAGGGAUUACCAGAGCAGUACAUCAGAGACAUGUCACAUUUACUACAGCACCUGCUUAGCAAGCUUAAAAUCAAUUUUAAAAAAUGUAAUUUUCACAUAUCUUAAAUAAGUCAUUGAUCACAGCUAUUUGCUUUCUGAAGAAAUACAAGCAGGUGUUACCAAGAGGUUUACUCCCUUUGGCAGGGGUUUUACUUGUUUCUCUAACAGCAGCAUAUGAGCCCUGUGUGAGGAAGGCACGGGGGAUCCUCUCUUCCAUUUUAAGGCAGGAGAGAUAUUUGCAAAUAAAUGCUGUAAUUAAAACUGACAUCUUUUUGCUUGACUGCUAACAGUGACCACAAGGAUGAAAAUGACACCAGUCCCACCAGGGGCAGGGACAGCUCUCGUUGUAGCAGAUUAGGGAGAGCAUUAAGGAGAGAUGAAGUGGCUUGUGAGGUCUUUCCCAGGGAUGCUGGAUGGUUCCUGUGGUCCACAAUGCCAUUCCCAGCAUGAUGACUGGCACUGGUGGAGAGGAGAGCUGCCAGCUCUCAGGGGAGCUUUGUUUGCAAAUAUUCUCCAUGCCUGAGGGGCAGAGAGAAAAACUCUCAGCAAAGGCAGAGAGGGGUGGUGUGACAGUGAGAGGGUGGUGAGGACAGCUGGCUGGUUUAAAGGUUUAAAGGACAGCUGGCUGGUUUAAAGGGACAAACAAAUCAGCAAUUCAAAUACUGCUGGCACAGAAACUCCAUUACCAAACACUCUGCACCCUCUGUGUUCACUGCAGACCUGGGCACAGGGCAAGCACAGAAAAGUCAGAGGCUGCAGAUAGGUGACACCCAGAAUUUCCAGGAGCGCCUCUGGGCACUCACCUUCCUUCACAGCUUCCCAAGGGCUGCAUAAACUUCACCCAGACCGGGUUCCUGGGGCCAAGGGGGUGACAGGGCACAGCAGAGGAGUCCUGUGGAAACCUGGGGGCUCUGGAGAUGGGGGAACCCCAGAGAAGGUGACACCAAGAUGUGAUGGGUGCUGAGGGUGCCUGGGACAUUCAAUUUUACUAUCCACCAGUGUACUCUCCCCUCUGGGAGGAGUUCUGCCAGGAGGGGCAAGGUGGGGCCCUCAGGUGACCCUGUGUGUGGCCCUGGUGUCCAGGAGCAUCCCCAGCAUCCUGCCUAGAGCUCCUCUCCUUCUCCAAACACGGAGCCUGAGACUCUGCCCUUGGCAGCCACAUUGCUGCUCAUUUCUGGAGGAAUUUAAAAAAAAAAACUAUGUGGCAAUUUCACAACCCUGUGACACCAAUCAGGACCCAUAAGCAGCUUCCUGAAACAUCACCCUUGGUAGCUAUGCUGUGUCUUGCUGGCAAUUAGAUGCCAAUGAUUAAUAAGGUGUGGCUGAUUCGGUGUCUCUGACUUUGUGGUUUUGUUUUGUUUUUUUUCUCUUCUCCUCUUGUUGCCUCUUGAAGUGUAAAUUUAGCUAAUUUAUUCUGGCCAGCACAGCAGCAUAAGAGCUUGGGUGUAACUUCCAUUUUUUCCUGAAAGGAGGCUCAGGUGGCUCGAAUCCAACACCACCUAUUAAACAACCAGGUCCUUCUGCUUCAACUUCUGCUUGAGCUUUGUGAGUGCCACCUAUCACUUGGUAUGCAAUUGUGUGCUCUUCCUUUUGUCUGAAAUGAAACAUAGAGUUUAAAUCCUAUUUGCAUACAGCCAGCUCUAUGAAUGGCACCCUAGAAACUGGUGUGGGCCACUCCAUGAGUAAAACAACAGGAAUGCAGUCAGCACCAGCCCACAGCUUGUAAAAAUCACAUUUCAUUAUCUCUAAAAAAUUAGCUAAAAGUGCCUUAAAAUACACACUCAGCAGAGGGCUGAUCAAAACAACUUAAUUAGAGACAUGAGGCUAUUUACACUGACUUUUGCUUAUUUUAAUUUAGCCUUAAUUUUCAUGUUCGAGAGUAACCAAGCUAAACAAAACUCACGUGGCUUCAUGGAAAGUCAUGUCAUGAACAAAAGCAGCUCUCACCCUGUGCAGGAAAAGGAGACGGGUGGUACAUGGCA